rnacentral:sRNA from 1 species
GGCUCCAGUGGUGAAGGAGAUCAUCGACGACAAGUCGCUGAUUAUCAACACGAACCCUGUAGAGGUGUACAAGGCUUGGGUGAACCAACUAGAAACACAGACUGGAGAGGCCAGCAAGUUGCCUUAUGAUGUGACCACAGAACAAGCUCUAACAUACCCAGAAGUGAAAAAUAAACUGGAGGCUUCCAUUGAGAACCUGAGAAGGGUCACCGACAAAGUCCUGAAUUCUAUCAUUUCUUCCCUUGAUCUACUGCCGUAAGUUGUACUUGCAGCAAGUUUAACAUUCUUUCCUGGAAAGUUCUUGGAAUACGAUGUAAAAUAAGCCCCUGUAGUGAAGACAGCAGUUUUCCCUUAUAUUGUGUUUACUAUUUUAAAAGAUUGCCUACAUUUACCUUUUAAAUUCCUGACUGUUCUCUAAAGAAGGGGCAAUACUUCAGUAGCAAACAC